rnacentral:lncRNA from 1 species
AUAGUAUCAUCAUGAGGACGGUGAUCGAUCCGGAUAGACCGACGCACAGAUCACUUCCUUCGAGAUAGAUGAAUCUCUGAUCUACAGUGUAGACAUUGAACGACGAGUACGAGUAGUUGUUAGAGAUCAACUAGUACUGAACGUGACCAUACGAGAGAUCACUUGAAUUUCUACUCGAUCGUCAGUGAUUGUCUCGAUGCUAUAGUUGUGUGAAUGAUCUUUUGACCUGCGAUGGUACGAUUGCUCGCAAUGAGACUGCUGGAAUUUGACUAACAUAUAAACAUGGUCUCAAUGAACUGUUGUAGUGGAUAUUGACGAUAGUUGGUCCACUGUAGAAGUAGGCUGCGCAUCAAGAUGGAAUCUAUCGACCUUGAUAGAAAUGAGUAGUCUUAUAGGAUUUGAGAGGUUAAGUCCGAAAAUCUGUGGCCACAACAGUGUGAGUAAUGAAAAAUAGUUUUCAUAAAGAUCACAAUUGGACUUGAGCUGAUCGAAUCUAUCAUAUGAUUGAUGAUAAGAUUUGACGAUUUAUUCAUGACCUGCCAUCUAGUCAGGAUUCAUGAUAGAGGGACUAAAUCACACAUGAACUACAUCUUGAGAUUCUUUUUCGGUUCUACUGGGUUGCUACCACAUACUGCUAAGUGUCACUGGUGAAUUGUGAGGCUCACUAAAAUUGCUCAGGUUCGACAAUCCUUGAUAAGUUAGAGUGAAAUUGUUUCGAUCCAUUGAAAAGAAUUUCAAUGAUACUAUGAUAGAGAUCAUUGUAUAUCUCACUAUCAGAUAAAAUUGAACCUAUGAGAUCACACAACAAAGGGAUUAGAUCUAAAAUAAGCAAUUGAGCUUAUGAAGUCUCA